UACGGGGGGGGGCAAGCGUUGUUCGGAAUUACUGGGCGUAAAGGGCUCGUAGGCGGCCAACUAAGUCAGACGUGAAAUCCCUCGGCUUAACCGGGGAACUGCGUCCGAUACUGGUUGGCUUGAAUCCGGGAGAGGGACGUGGAAUUCCAGGUGUAGCGGUGAAAUGCGUAGAUAUCUGGAGGAACACCGGUGGCGAAGGCGACGUCCUGGACCGGCAUUGACGCUGAGGCGCGAAAGCCAGGGGAGCAAACGGG
rnacentral:rRNA from 1 species